rnacentral:rRNA from 1 species
CACGUAGGGUGCGAGCGUUGUCCGGAAUUAUUGGGCGUAAAGAGCUCGUAGGCGGUGUGUCGCGUCGGCCGUGAAAACCUGCAGCUUAACUGUGGGCUUGCGGUCGAUACGGGCAUCACUGGAGUUCGGCAGGGGAGACUGGAAUUCCUGGUGUAGCGGUGAAAUGCGCAGAUAUCAGGAGGAACACCCGGUGGGCGAAGGCGG